rnacentral:rRNA from 1 species
UGCAAAAAGUUUGGCGAAUAAGGACUGGGCAAGACUAGUGCCAGCCGCCGCGGUAAUACUAGCUGUUCAAGUCGCAACCAUCUUUAUUAGGUCUAAAACAUCCGUAGCUUGACUAGUAAGUUUCUUGUGAAAUCCUAUAUCUCAAGUAUAGGGCGAGCAAGAAGUACUGCUAAUCUAGAGACUGGAAGACGUAAAGAGUAUGAUCAAGGUAGUAGUAAAAUAUUUUAAUCUUGGUCAGACUUCCAACAGCGAAGGCACUUUACGAGGACAGUUCUGACAGUAAGGGAUGAAGGCUAGGGGCGCAAAACGGAUUAGAUACCCUUGUAGUC